GAACGCUAGCUACAGGCUUAACACAUGCAAGUCGAGGGGCAUCAGGAAGAAAGCUUGCUUUCUUUGCUGGCGACCGGCGCACGGGUGAGUAACACGUAUCCAACCUGCCCUUUACUCGGGGAUAGCCUUUCGAAAGAAAGAUUAAUACCCGAUAGCAUAAUGAUUCCGCAUGGUUUCAUUAUUAAAGGAUUCCGGUAAAGGAUGGGGAUGCGUUCCAUUAGGUUGUUGGUGAGGUAACGGCCCACCAAGCCUUCGAUGGAUAGGGGUUCUGAGAGGAAGGUCCCCCACAUUGGAACUGAGACACGGUCCAAACUCCUACGGGAGGCAGCAGUGAGGAAUAUUGGUCAAUGGGCGCUAGCCUGAACCAGCCAAGUAGCGUGAAGGAUGAAGGCUCUAUGGGUCGUAAACUUCUUUUAUAUAAGAAUAAAGUGCAGUAUGUAUACUGUUUUGUAUGUAUUAUAUGAAUAAGGAUCGGCUAACUCCGUGCCAGCAGCCGCGGUAAUACGGAGGAUCCGAGCGUUAUCCGGAUUUAUUGGGUUUAAAGGGAGCGUAGGUGGACUGGUAAGUCAGUUGUGAAAGUUUGCGGCUCAACCGUAAAAUUGCAGUUGAUACUGUCAGUCUUGAGUACAGUAGAGGUGGGCGGAAUUCGUGGUGUAGCGGUGAAAUGCUUAGAUAUCACGAAGAACUCCGAUUGCGAAGGCAGCUCACUGGACUGCAACUGACACUGAUGCUCGAAAGUGUGGGUAUCAAACAGGAUUAGAUACCCUGGUAGUCCACACAGUAAACGAUGAAUACUCGCUGUUUGCGAUAUACAGUAAGCGGCCAAGCGAAAGCAUUAAGUAUUCCACCUGGGGAGUACGCCGGCAACGGUGAAACUCAAAGGAAUUGACGGGGGCCCGCACAAGCGGAGGAACAUGUGGUUUAAUUCGAUGAUACGCGAGGAACCUUACCCGGGCUUAAAUUGCAGUGGAAUGAUGUGGAAACAUGUCAGUGAGCAAUCACCGCUGUGAAGGUGCUGCAUGGUUGUCGUCAGCUCGUGCCGUGAGGUGUCGGCUUAAGUGCCAUAACGAGCGCAACCCUUAUCUUUAGUUACUAACAGGUUAUGCUGAGGACUCUAGAGAGACUGCCGUCGUAAGAUGUGAGGAAGGUGGGGAUGACGUCAAAUCAGCACGGCCCUUACGUCCGGGGCUACACACGUGUUACAAUGGGGGGUACAGAAGGCAGCUAGCGGGUGACCGUAUGCUAAUCCCAAAAUCCUCUCUCAGUUCGGAUCGAAGUCUGCAACCCGACUUCGUGAAGCUGGAUUCGCUAGUAAUCGCGCAUCAGCCACGGCGCGGUGAAUACGUUCCCGGGCCUUGUACACACCGCCCGUCAAGCCAUGGGAGCCGGGGGUACCUGAAGUACGUAACCGCAAGGAUCGUCCUAGGGUAAAACUGGUGAAA
rnacentral:rRNA from 1 species